rnacentral:lncRNA from 1 species
CUUUUAAAGUAGAAGUUUUUUCCUUCUUGGCUGGCUAGUAUCCCUAUUACAAUUGUAUUUGGAAUGGCAAAUGUAAAAAAUAAAGAAAGGAAAGAGACCAAUGUUACUCUAGUGGUAAAAACCUCAGUUUUUCUUUAAUUAAGAUGGGGUAAUAUUCUGGCCAAUGUCAAGGGCAAUUCUGAGACAUGACUAAUAUUUUUUAUAAAGCAUUCUGGGAUCCUCAACAGAGAAAUACGUCCGCUGUAUUUGUAUAAAAGCAGUGUCUUCCAUGAACUUGACAUGUUAAUAUAUCCCAGAUAAUAUCAUUAGUUUACAUGGUUCUCUUGAGAGGUGAAGUGAAUGAAUUCUAUCACUUGUGGGCAACUACAAGGAUAAAA